AGUGAACGCUGGCGGUAGGCCUAACACAUGCCAGUCGAACGGCAGCACAGUAAGAGCUUGCUCUUACGGGUGGCGAGUGGCGGACGGGUGAGGAAUACAUCGGAAUCUACUUUUUCGUGGGGGAUAACGUAGGGAAACUUACGCUAAUACCGCAUACGACCUACGGGUGAAAGCAGGGGAUCUUCGGACCUUGCGCGAUUGAAUGAGCCGAUGUCGGAUUAGCUAGUUGGCGGGGUAAAGGCCCACCAAGGCGACGAUCCGUAGCUGGUCUGAGAGGAUGAUCAGCCACACUGGAACUGAGACACGGCCCAGACUCCUACGGGAGGCAGCAGUGGGGAAUAUUGGACAAUGGGCGCAAGCCUGAUCCAGCCAUACCGCGUGGGUGAAGAAGGCCUUCGGGUUGUAAAGCCCUUUUGUAGGGAAAGAAAAGCAGCAGGUUAAUACCCCGCUGUUCUGACGGUACCCAAAGAAUAAGCACCGGCUAACUUCGUG
rnacentral:rRNA from 1 species